AUAAUUUUUAUGACUACGAUUUAACCAUUUACGCCUUUCGCGCUUCAAUUGCAAAAAAAAAAAAAAAAAAAAUUGGGUUCUCUUUGUGAUCUAUGACACAAUUUUUAAUUCUGGCAAAUUGGAAAAAAAAUGUUUUAAAAUGAAGACGUGGGGUGCGCAGAACUUUUAAUGUGCUGUUGGAUUUUUUUUUUUUUUUUUUUGCACUCCAAACAUCAGUUUCUUAAUUUUCCAUAUGCCACAAAACAUUUUCUUUGGGGGGUUGCAAACAAAUGUGCAGAUUUGAUGCAAUGUCAACCUCUUAUUUGAUCACAAUCAAUUGGGGCUGGCUUUGACCGAUAUAGGACAAAAUGUCGGUUUAUUGAAACUGGAGAACUAAAAAAAAAAAGUGUGCUCAUUUAAUGUGACGUCAAAAUUAAUAUGGCCUUGCUUCUACCUAUGAAAAAGAAAAGGAAAAAAAGAAGCUGGACUCGUUUCGGAUUGGAACUUUCUGGCAAAUUCCGACCCUAAUCAAGAACGUCAUUAAGGAGCUGCACUGAUCUUCUGUCUUAGAACACAAUCGCUUGGUUUGAACAAUUUGCCCAAUAUUUUUCCCAAGUUCAAGAAUUGCCAACAAAUUUUUGAUUUUUGUAUUGAAUGACUAAAAUAGUUUGAUGGUCCAUGGUGGACGGCUGAAAUAAAGGGCCUCCAUGUCAGAAAAAAAGUUCUUUCAAAACAGAUGGGCUUGUUUUGCAAUAUAUUACAAAAGUUAAAACAUUCAUCAUCACCAGCAGAACAAAAGUGCACAUAAAGACAAAAUUGGGGUCUUGAUCGUCAUAAAAAUCCCCGAGUGCAACCGGUAUCAUCACAAGGAUUCAAAAUCAAUUGGGAUUUUAUUUCUUGUGUGUCAUGACCGGUACCACCUCAUCACAUAUUCAAAAUCAAAACUGUACUGCGCUAGCUAGCCUGAAAAUAAGCAGUUGGUAUUUAAAAGCAGGUAAAUUCUUUCCUGGAACCAAAAAAAAUGCCCUAAAAUAGUUGGGAAGGAAUUCAAUUUGCUUUCACAACAAAUGUGCUGUGCUUUGACUCGUGAUAUCAGAUUGCAGACAUCUUGUCAAGGUUUCAAAAUCAAUUGGGUUCUUGCGUUGCCGUGACUGAGAGGGAUCCUGGAUGCAGUUCCUCCCGAGCGGGUCUCAUGAUGGCACAAAAGCAGCACUUGUCUAAAGUGGUGGAAAGGAGGCCCCUCGCCCUCUUGUGCGCUGCAAUUUCUUCCCAAGCAAGUUCGCUGUGAUAGGUGACAGCACUCCCGUGACCCCUGUGAGGAUAAGCAUCUUGGGAAACGGACACGCACUCCCCAUGCUAACUGCUCACGCAGCUCCUGGCUAAUAGGAAAUGCGCGAUCAAGGCUCACCGCUUUGUAAUUUCAAUCACAAAUUGUGACAAGUUAAAACUGUGGGAGGCAGCUUUGGCUUUAAUUGGGCAAAUAAAUGCUUCCGUUUACUUCAUGUGGCUCCCUAACACACACACACACCUCUCAAAUGAGUUUGGUGCGUUCAGGGAACACUGCACUCACAAGUGUCAAACUCAAGGCCGGGGGGGGGAGGAGGAGGAGGAAGCAGCUCAAGUGUGUCGACUUCACAUUCCUUGCUAAAAUAUUACAAAUAGUCUUCACUUUUUCACUGCACAUUUUUGUUGCAAAUCAAACUUCAAAAGAAUUUGAUGGCUUGUAUUAAGAGAUGCAACAAUCUUAUUUUCCACUCAGUCAUCACAGCCCCCCCCCCCCCCCCAAGAUAAACCAUAACCAUAUGGCUUACGGUUAAUAUUUUUGGUACGUGGGCAGCCAGACCUGGCUGAAACGCUGUCCCCAUUUAUUAAAUUUGUUCAAAAAAAAUUAUAUUUUUAAGCACUAACAUGAAAAUAUUUUCAGACCUUGUCUGCAGGCAAGUAACGCCACUUUAUAUUUACAUCAAAUUUGUAUUUUUUUUUUUAAGUCUACAUUACGAGUGUGUCGACUUCACAUUCCUUGCUAAAAUAUUACAAAUAGUCUUCACUUUUUCACUGCACAUUUUUGUUGCAAAUCAAACUUCAAAAGAAUUUGAUGGCUUGUAUUAAGAGAUGCAACAAUCUUAU